AACGAACGCUGGCGGCGCGUCUUAAGCAUGCAAGUCGGACGGCAAGAAGAGAGCUUGCUCUCUUCCUAGAGUGGCGGACUGGUGAGUAACACGUGGGUGACGUACCCUUUAGCUGGGGAUAGCCGGUAGAAAUACCGGGUAAUACCGAAUAAUCUUGCUUCUUUGAAGUGAAGUAAGGAAAGGAGCUUCGGCUUCACUGAAGGAACGGCCCGCGCACUAUUAGCUAGUUGGUGAGGUAACGGCUCACCAAGGCAACGAUAGUUAUCCGGCCUAAGAGGGUGAACGGACACAUUGGGACUGAGAUACGGCCCAGACUCCUACGGGAGGCAGCAGCUAAGAAUAUUCCGCAAUGGAGGAAACUCUGACGGAGCGACGCCGCGUGGAGUGAUGAAGGUCGGAAGAUGUAAAAUCCUUUAAGCAAGAAGAAUAAACUUUACAGGAAUGGUAGAGUGGUGACGGUAAUUGCUUGAAUAAG
rnacentral:rRNA from 1 species